GCGGGUAUGGCGGAAUUGGCAGACGCGCAAGAUUUAGGAUCUUGUAUCGCAAGAUGUGCAGGUUCGACCCCUGUUACCCGCACCA
rnacentral:tRNA from 1 species